rnacentral:rRNA from 1 species
AUUGAACGCUGGCGGCAGGCCUAACACAUGCAAGUCGAGCGGAUGAGUGGAGCUUGCUCCAUGAUUCAGCGGCGGACGGGUGAGUAAUGCCUAGGAAUCUGCCUGGUAGUGGGGGACAACGUUUCGAAAGGAACGCUAAUACCGCAUACGUCCUACGGGAGAAAGUGGGGGAUCUUCGGACCUCACGCUAUCAGAUGAGCCUAGGUCGGAGUAGCUAGUUGGUGAGGUAAAGGCUCACCAAGGCGACGAUCCGUAACUGGUCUGAGAGGAUGAUCAGUCAAACUGGAACUGAGACACGGUCCAGACUCCUACGGGAGGCAGCAGUGGGGAAUAUUGGACAAUGGGCGAAAGCCUGAUCCAGCCAUGCCGCGUGUGUGAAGAAGGUCUUCGGAUUGUAAAGCACUUUAAGUUGGGAGGAAGGGCAGUAAGUUAAUACCUUGCUGUUUUGACGUUACCAACAGAAUAAGCACCGGCUAACUUCGUGCCAGCAGCCGCGGUAAGAC